AGCGAACGCUGGCGGCAGGCCUAACACAUGCAAGUCGAACGAACCUUUCGGGGUUAGUGGCGGACGGGUGAGUAACACGUGGGAACAUGCCUUUAGGUUCGGAAUAACUCAGGGAAACUUGUGCUAAUACCGAAUGUGCCCUUCGGGGGAAAGAUUUAUCGCCUUUAGAGCGGCCCGCGUCUGAUUAGCUAGUUGGUUGAGGUAAUGGCUCACCAAGGCGACGAUCAGUAGCUGGUCUGAGAGGAUGAUCAGCCACAUUGGGACUGAGACACGGCCCAAACUCCUACGGGAGGCAGCAGUGGGGAAUCUUGCGCAAUGGGCGAAAGCCUGACGCAGCCAUGCCGCGUGAAUGAUGAAGGUCUUAGGAUUGUAAAAUUCUUUCACCGGGGACGAUAAUGACGGUACCCGGAGAAGAAGCCCCGGCUAACUUCGUG
rnacentral:rRNA from 1 species